UACAGAGGUCCCGAGCGUUGUUCGGAUUUAUUGGGCGUAAAGGGUGCGUAGGCGGCGGAGUAAGUUGGGUGUGAAAUCCCGGGGCUCAACCUCGGAAUUGCAUUCAAUACUGCUUCGCUCGAGUACUGGAGAGGAGGCUGGAAUUUACGGUGUAGCAGUGAAAUGCGUAGAUAUCGUAAGGAAGGCCGGUGGCGAAAGCGAGCCUCUGGACAGUUACUGACGCUGAUGCACGAAGGCCAGGGGAGCAAGCGGG
rnacentral:rRNA from 1 species